GGGCCGUUAGCUCAGCGGUAGAGCACCGGCCUUUUAAGCCGGGUGUCGCUGGUUCGAAUCCAGCACGGCUCA
rnacentral:tRNA from 4 species